rnacentral:lncRNA from 1 species
AGAGCGCUUUGUGCGCGGGGGCAUUGUCAUGCUGAAACAGGAAAGGGCCUUCCCCAAACUGUUGCCACAAAGUUGGAAGCACAAAAUGUCAGCACACACACACCUGGCUUCCACAGUGUGCUGAAUGUCAUUGUAUGCUGUAGCGUUAAGAUUUCCCUUCACUGGAACAAAGGGGCCCGAACUAUGAAAAACAGCCCCAGACCAUUAUUCCUCCUCCACCAAACUUUACAGUUGCCACUAUGCAUUUGGGGCAGGUAGCGUUCUCCUGGCAUCCGCCAAACCCAGAUUCGUCCAUUGGACUGACAGAUGGUGAAGCGUGACACAUCACUCCAGAGAACACGUUUCCACUGCUCCAGAGUCCAAUGGCGGCAAGCUUUACACCACUCCAGCCGAUGUUUGGCAUCGCUCGUGGUAAUCUUAGGCUUGUGUGCGGCUGCUCGGCCAUGGAAACCCAUUUCAUGAAGCACAGUUCUUAUGCUGACGUUGCUCCCCAGAGGCAGUUUGGAGUGUUACAACCGAGGACAGAUGAUUCUUAAGCGCUUCAGCACUCGGCUUUCUGUGAGAUUGUGUGGCCUACCACUUCACGGCUGAGCCGUUGUUGCUCCUAGACAUUUCCACUUCACAAUAACAGCACUUACAGUUGACUGGACAGCUCUAGCAGGGUAGACAUUUGAUGAACUAACUUGUUGGAAUGUGGCGUCCUACAGUAUGAUGGUGCCAUGUUGAAAGUCAGUACAGGCCAUUCUACUGCCAAUGUUUGUCUAUGGAGAUUGCUUCGCUGUGCUCAAUGUUAUACACCUGUCAGGAACAGGUGUGGCUGAAUUAGCUGAAUCCACUCAUUUGAAGGGGUGUCCACAUACUUUUGGCCACUGAGUAUUUCUAUAAAAAUUGUAAAAAAACAAACAUUUUUUUAAAUGAUAAAUGCUAAAUGUAAAUGAUAAAGCCUUUCCUUCCUGUUUGUUGUUUUUGGUUUGUGCUGUUGACGGUAGCUACACCUGAUUUAGCAGCCCUAGCAGAAGACAAAGUGUUUCCAUGUUGAACCAUUUCAUGUGUCUGAAGGUACCUGGCAGGCCCAGAGAGCCAAUCAGAGGUCAGAUCACCGUGUCAGCAGUUUCCUCGCACCAAUAGAAAGAAGCCUCGAACACACAGCCAAUCAGAGGUCAGAUCACCGUGUCAACAGUUUCCUCGCACCAAUAGAAAGAAGCCUGGAAC